GCCUGGGUGGCUCAGUCGGUUAAGCGUCUGACUUUGGCUCAGGUCAUGAUCUUGCAGUUUGUGAGUUCGAGCCCCACGUCGGGCU
rnacentral:tRNA from 1 species